CAGUACCACUGAACCACAAUGGAAACUCCUGAAUCAAAUGUGCUUUGCGGUCCCCAAUAAUUUUGUUUUACUGGAAAGGAUCCUGAGACUGAAAGUUUUGAAAACCACUGGUGGAGAAGACGCCCGAAGGGGGAAGAGAAAGAUUCCGGUGUGGUGUUCUGGCAAGAGCUGGGGCUUAGGAGUGGGAACAAGCUGUGAAGCUAGGCUCUGCCAGCCUCACCUGCUCCUCCCCUGCCAUCAUCGUUGUCAUCACUGUCACCACCACCACUGUCGCCACGGCCACCACUGGCGUUGCCAGCAUCAUCAUCACCACCCUCACCCCUACCACACUACGGACACCACCUACUGUCACCACCGCCACCGCCACCGCCAUUCCCGCCACCACGGUCAUCACCCGCGUCUCACCAGGAACGCCACACCGUCCCCAUCCCACCGCCACCAUCACCGUCGCUGUCCUCGUGGUCACCACCGACCCUUGGUCGAGCAUCUACGUGCCGUCAGACACCGUAGUUCUCUGACCCCCCGGAGGUCGAUCAAGCUUUCUUGGCCCCCGCUUGUUAGUUGCUAGUUGGGAAUAUUGCUGGUGAUAUGAGCUAUGUUUACUGACACACACCCCCCACCUCCGUGAGCCCCAGGCUCAGGGGGGCAGGUCCACUUCGUCGUAAUCCCGGCAAUCAGGCAGAGCCAACGCUGAAAUGACACUCAUCUUGGCACAGGACUGGAGAGCGAAGGCGUCUCAGCCAACUCAGACUGCUGUGACAAAAUGCCACAGGCAAGGUGGCUUAUAAAACAAAUUUAUUGAUCAUAGUCCGGAGGCUGGAAGACGAAGACCAGGGUAUCAGCAUGGUCGGGGUCACGUGAGGGCUCUCUUCCUGGUUGCAGACUGCCGCCUCCUCCUUGUAUCCUCCUGUGGCUGAGAGGGAGAUCACUCUGAGGUCUUUAUUAAAAAGACACUCCUCUCA